AUUGAUCGCUGGCGGCAGGCCUAACACAUGCAAGUCGAGCGGAUGAAGGGAGCUUGCUCCUGGAUUCAGCGGCGGACGGGUGAGUAAUGCCUAGGAAUCUGCCUGGUAGUGGGGGAUAACGUCCAGAAACGGGCGCUAAUACCGCAUACGUCCUGAGGGAGAAAGUGGGGGAUCUUCGGACCUCACGCUAUCAGAUGAGCCUAGGUCGGAUUAGCUAGUUGGUGGGGUAAAGGCCUACCAAGGCGACGAUCCGUAACUGGUCUGAGAGGAUGAUCAGUCACACUGGAACUGAGACACGGUCCAGACUCCUACGGGAGGCAGCAGUGGGGAAUAUUGGACAAUGGGCGAAAGCCUGAUCCAGCCAUGCCGCGUGUGUGAAGAAGGUCUUCGGAUUGUAAAGCACUUUAAGUUGGGAGGAAGGGCAGUAAGUUAAUACCUUGCUGUUUUGACGUUACCAACAGAAUAAGCACCGGCUAACUUCGUG
rnacentral:rRNA from 1 species